GCCUGUGUGAUGUAGUGGUUUGAGUGUUGGACUACAACUCUGGAGACCAGGUUUCAAAUCCCCACUUAAGCA
rnacentral:tRNA from 1 species